GGUUCCGUGGUGUAGGGGUUAACAUGCCUGCCUGUCACGCAGGAGUUCGCGGGUUCAAACCCCGUGGGGACCGCCA
rnacentral:tRNA from 1 species